rnacentral:rRNA from 1 species
AGAGUUUGAUUAUGGCUCAGGAUGAACGCUGGCGGCAUGCCUAACACAUGCAAGUUGAACGAGCUUAAAUUUUUAUCAAUUUAAGGUAAGUAGCGAACGGGUGAGUAAGGUAUGUAAGAAUCUACCUUUAGGAGGGGGAUAACCACUGGAAACGGCGGCUAAAACCCCAUAAGCUGUGGAGUAAAAAGUGAAAACUGCCUAAAGAUGAGCUUGCAUCUGAUUAGCUUGUUGGUGAAUUAAUUGUUCACCAAGGCGAUGAUCAGUAGUUGGUCUAAGAGGAUGAUCAACCACACUGGGACUGAGACACGGCCCAGACCUCUACGGGGGGCAGCAGUGGGGAAUUUUCCGCAAUGGGCGAGAGCCUGACGGAGCAAUGCCGCGUGGAUGAUGAAGGCUUUUGAGUCGUAAAAACCUUUUCUUAGUGAAGAAAAUAGACGGAGCUAAGGAAUAAGC